AAGCCAGCACUAACAAGUCAACUAUGGCAGGACAGGGCAAUUGCCAGCAAGGGAAGGCUUCUGAUUCUGCUAACUAUCCAUCUUCUUCCAGGACCAUCUCCUCCAUCCUGAACACCUGUCUGAACCAAUACUUGGAGGACUUCUGUCAGCUUCCAGACUUUCUGUGCCUCAUGCUGCUGAUAGCUUAUCUUCAGCUCAACAUGUUGGGAUCAAAUGAGGAUUGCCAUGCUCAGCUUCUUCUGGCCCAGUGGGAACACUUAGAGUUCAGUGAGCCUGAAACUGAGAAACAUUGCCAUCUACUGCCUGAAGAGGACUUGGGAAGAAGUCUCCAGGCAUGUGUGCCUCCCUCUGGAGAAGCUACUUGUGUACAGGAAAGCUUCCAGAAAUUUGAGAAGCUGUCAAGGAUUUUUUCUCCUGAAAAGAAUCACUCCAUGAGCAGAAAGCUGCUCACCAAGGUGGGUGGAAACUUAGCAUUGACAUGGGAAUACAGAAGGU
rnacentral:lncRNA from 1 species